AGUGAACGCUGGCGGUAGGCCUAACACAUGCAAGUCGAACGGCAGCACAGUAAGAGCUUGCUCUUACGGGUGGCGAGUGGCGGACGGGUGAGGAAUACAUCGGAAUCUACUUUUUCGUGGGGGAUAACGUAGGGAAACUUACGCUAAUACCGCAUACGACCUACGGGUGAAAGCAGGGGAUCUUCGGACCUUGCGCGAUUGAAUGAGCCGAUGUCGGAUUAGCUAGUUGGCGGGGUAAAGGCCCACCAAGGCGACGAUCCGUAGCUGGUCUGAGAGGAUGAUCGGCCACUCUGGAACUGAGACACGGUCCAGACUCCUACGGGAGGCAGCAGUGGGGAAUAUUAGACAAUGGGGGCAAGCAUGAUCCAGCCAUACCGCGUGGGUGAAGAAGGCCUUGGGGUUGUAAAGCCCUUUUGUUGGGAAAGAAAAGCAGCAGGUUAAUACCCCGCUGUUCUGACGGUACCCAAAGAAUAAGCACCGGCUAACUUCGUG
rnacentral:rRNA from 1 species